GGACAGUGGCCUGCGAGUCACUCUUGUUUGGAGUUAAAUUUUUAUUUAUCCUAAAAGGCUUUUAUUCUCCUAGUUGUAUAUGUACAUUAGUCUCCAUAUACAGUUACUUCAUUUAUACCUCAAAAAGAAGCCUUGCCUAUUCGUGCACAUUUUCAUUUCGGAGGGUUUCUGCCAAAAAUCUUGCUGAUUUGAGCCUUCUUUUGCGUCCAGCUCUGGAUUUCUACAAAAAAUGGCAUAACGGCAACUGCAAUUUUUGGUGCUGAUGUUGCCGAGUUGAAGAACACCAUGGAAUCUCUCUACGACUCGUGUGUGAUUUGUGCUCAGACUCCCCAACACUGAUCUUGUAUAUUGUCAACAAGGUUAAAGGGGCGGUGUGAUCGGAAUCAGGUGUGAUUGGAAGUCAGGUUUCUGCUGAAUCUGACUCUUUUUCUAUACAUUAGGGGGACGAUUAAAGGAAGAUGCAGAAGGAUUGAUAUUGCUAAUGGAUCAUGAAAGUGUUUUAGCGGUGAUGGUUUGUGGAUAUAUCUCUCUGGAAAAGUCAUUAAGAUGCUUUUAAUAUAUUAGGCUUUUUGCCUCGGAAAUUAUUUUGUAGUGCUUCAUGAUUCCUUGGUAGAAUAUGCUGUGAAAAGACUUGGGGAUAAUUUAAUUUGUCCAGAGUUGAUGCUUGCACAUUAGCUGAUCAUGCUCAUAAGUUUGGCUCAUCGAAUAUACCAGAAAAUAUGUAGCCAUUCGGCAAACAGCUUUAGCAAUAAAGGGCUGCCAAUUGGAUUUA